UUUUUCUGUUUUUUAUUAAAUCCAACAAUUUUCACAGCAAAUAUAUAUGACAUGUAUAGAUAUAUUUCACAGGCAUUCAUAUCACAAAAUUCCAUCCAUAAACAAAGUUCCUUCAUACAUAAACAAAGUUCCAUCCAUAAACAAAAUUCCUUCAUACAUAAACAAAGUUCCUUCAUACAUAAACAAAGUUCCAUUCAUAUCACAAAGAGCCUUCAUACAUAAACAAAGUUUCAUCCAUACAUAAACAUGAAGACUAGAACAAGAAGAGUAGCUUCCAUGAAGUGAAUGAAAUCUGCAAAAUGGCAAAAUAAGAAAGUUAGAAAUAGGUGACUAGAACAAGAAGAGUAGAACAAGAAGAAGAGUAGAACAAGAAGAGUAGAACAAGAAGAAGACUAGAACAAGAAGAGUAUGUCAUUUAUGAGCUAACUUACGUGAAAUGGAUCAUAUAUGAGCUAACUAAGUUGAAAUGGGUCGUUUAUGAGCUAGCUAAGGUGAAAUGGAUCAUUUAUGAGCUAACUUAGUUGAAAUGGG
rnacentral:lncRNA from 1 species